CCUACAUAUCGGUCUUUUAAUGUUUUCCAUAAAACCUUAAAGUCUUAAAUCACAAUGAAUCUAUGAUCUUGUUUUGAGACCAGAUUAUUGUCGGAAAAUAGCAAACAAUUAAUUGCGUUUUCAUGUCAGAAAGAGUCCAGGGACUUUCAGAAUGCUUGAUUUUUCGUAAUUUUUUUCAGAGCAUUUUUCUCCUUGAGCGGCCCC
rnacentral:lncRNA from 1 species